UGAUUGAUCGACUUUGAGUUC
rnacentral:piRNA from 1 species